rnacentral:lncRNA from 1 species
AAUUUAAAAAAAUCAAAGAAUAGUUUAUAUGUAAAAAAUGAUAAUAUGGAUGACAAUAGAUUAUCACUAUUAAAAAAUUUAGAAAAAGAAACUGAAGUAAUUACACAAGCACCUGAUUGGAAUGAGAAACAGCCAUUACUGGAAAUAUCCAACUUAUAUGUUAUUGAAAUAGAGGGAGAGAAAGAAAUUUUACAUGGAGUAAAUUUAAUUAUUUAUUCUGGUGAAAGACAUGCUAUAAUGGGUAGAAAUGGUUCAGGUAAAUCAACUUUAGCAAAAGUUAUAGCUGGACAUCCUUAUUAUAAAGUCACUAAAGGUAGUAUGAAAUUUAAAGGCUUAAACUUGGAUACAUUACCUGUUAAUGUAAGAUCUUUAUGUGGUAUUUUUUUAGCAUUCCAAUACCCAAUAGAAUUGCCCAUGAUAAAAAAUAAUGAUUUUUUAAGAGCUGCAUUAAAUAGUCAUAGGAGACAAAGAAAUGAAACAGAAUUAAGUGCAAGUGAAUUUGAUUUAUUAAUGCUUGAAGAAAUAAAAAAAGUUGGUUUAUGUUCUGAGUUUUUAAACAGACCAGUUAAUUAUGGUUUUAGUGGAGGAGAAAAAAAAAGAAAUGAAAUUUUACAAAUGUUAAUUUUAAAACCAUCUUUUGCUAUUUUAGAUGAAACUGAUUCAGGUUUAGAUAUAGAUUCUUUUAAAUUAACAUCUAAUGUACUUGCAAAUUAUGCAAAUAAUAAUAAUUCAUUUUUGGUUGUAACCCAUUAUAAAAAACUGUUACAACUUUUAAAACCUAAUUAUAUUCAUAUAAUGCAUCAGGGUAAAAUUAUUGAAACAGGAAACUAUACGUUAGUUGAUAAAAUUGAGUCUAGUGGUUAUUCUCAAUUUUUUAGCAGUUAGCACUGUCCGUUUUAUUAUGCGUAGUCAUAAGCUCGCACAUACAUACGUACACAUAUAUAUACAUACGUACAUAUAUAUAUAUAUAUAUAUAAGAAGUAAAUAUUUUUAUUAUGUUUUCAUGUAUAUUGCGUUGUUUUGCGUUGUUUUGCGUUGUUUUACGUUGUUUUACGUUGUUUUGCGAUGUUUUACGUUGUUUUGCUUUAUUUUACUUUUGUCUACUAAUCCUCAAAUUAAAAUAAAAUAAUUAAAUUUUUAAUACUUUCA